rnacentral:rRNA from 1 species
AGUGAACGCUGGCGGUAGGCCUAACACAUGCAAGUCGAACGGCAGCACAGUAAGAGCUUGCUCUUACGGGUGGCGAGUGGCGGACGGGUGAGGAAUACAUCGGAAUCUACUUUUUCGUGGGGGACAACGUAGGGAAACUUACGCUAAUACCGCAUACGACCUACGGGUGAAAGCAGGGGAUCUUCGUACCUUGCGCGUUUGAAUGAGCCGAUGUCGGAUUAGCUAGUUGGCGUGGUAAAGGCCCACCAAGGCGACGAUCCGUAGCUGGUCUGAGAGGAUGAUCAGCCACACUGGAACUGAGACACGGUCCAGACUCCUACGGGAGGCAGCAGUGGGGAAUAUUGGACAAUGGGCGCAAGCCUGACCCAGCCAUACCGCGUGGGUGAAGAAGGCCUUCGGGUUGUAAAGCCCUUUUGUUGGGAAAGAAAAGCAGCAGGUUAAUACCCCGCUGUUCUGACGGUACCCAAAGAAUAAGCACCGGCUAACUUCGUG